rnacentral:rRNA from 1 species
GACGAACGCUGGCGGCGUGCCUAAUACAUGCAAGUAGAACGCUGAAGGAGGAGCUUGCUCUUCUGGAUGAGUUGCGAACGGGUGAGUAACGCGUAGGUAACCUGCCUGGUAGCGGGGGAUAACUAUUGGAAACGAUAGCUAAUACCGCAUAACAGUAGAUGUUGCAUGACAUUUACUUAAAAGGUGCAAUUGCAUCACUACCAGAUGGACCUGCGUUGUAUUAGCUAGUUGGUGGGGUAACGGCUCACCAAGGCGACGAUACAUAGCCGACCUGAGAGGGUGAUCGGCCACACUGGGACUGAGACACGGCCCAGACUCCUACGGGAGGCAGCAGUAGGGAAUCUUCGGCAAUGGACGGAAGUCUGACCGAGCAACGCCGCGUGAGUGAAGAAGGUUUUCGGAUCGUAAAGCUCUGCUGUAAGAGAAGAACGAGUGUGAGAGUGGAAAGUUCACACUGUGACGGUAUCUUACCAGAAAGAGACGGCUAACUACGUG